UACGGAGGGUGCAAGCGUUGUCCGGAUUUAUUGGGUUUAAAGGGUGCGUAGGUGGGUCUGUAAGUCAGUGGUGAAAUCUCCGGGCUUAACCCGGAAACUGCCAUUGAUACUAUAGGUCUUGAAUUUUCUGGAGGUCAGCGGAAUAUGUCAUGUAGCGGUGAAAUGCUUAGAUAUGACAUAGAACACCGAUUGCGAAGGCAGCUGACUACAGGAACAUUGACACUGAGGCACGAAAGCGUGGGGAUCAAACAGG
rnacentral:rRNA from 1 species